rnacentral:snoRNA from 1 species
AAGAUUAUGCCUGCAGGGAUCAUUUCUAGAGUUCAUUCCUGGAGAAGUUUCUCUGAUCUUGAAGAGUACUGGAAACCACGGGGAAGAGGCCCAGAGUUCCCUCCUGAGGGACAUCUCUUGGUGUUGCUUUACUGAAACUGCCUUUUACCAUUGAUGACUGUUCUUCCCUUUAGAGGGGUGACAAGGGAGAAAUGCAAAUCUCCAG